rnacentral:rRNA from 1 species
AUGAAUCUCUUAAGUUAGAACUGCCAGGGAGGGGGGAAUUCCCGGACAGUUCGUGAGCUGACGACCUUAUGUAGGUCACAUUCCCCCAUGUUUGUGUUCUUGUGUGAAACGAGACAGAAGGAAGCGAAGAUGAAGAGGUUGAGAGGUCGGUUGGGCUUGAAGGGUUUUUGUGGUGUUGAUAGUUCUGGCAUGAGUGGUGGCUUGGCACUAUAUUGGCAUGAG